GGAAGGAUCAUUAUCAAUGAUAUCCAUCAUACACCGUGAACCGCCCGCCUCCGGGGCAACCUGGGGUCGGGCAUUAAACUCUAUACCUUACAGCAGAGUCAAUUAGUAACACUAAUACGACAACUUUUAGCAACGGAUCUCUAGGUUCUCGCAACGAUGAAGAACGCAGCGAAUUGCGAAAAGUAAUGUGAAUUGCAUAAUUCCGUGAAUCAUCAAAUCUUUGAACGCACCUUGCGCUUGCGGGAAUUCCUGCAAGCAUGCCUGUUUGAGUAUCAGUUUACAAACUCCACAAGGAUUUAUUCUUGGGGGACUUGGGCCCGUGGAGAAACAGUUGUUUCCUCCCACCCGCCUUAAAUACAAGAGUGCUUGCCCAAAGCGCAGAUAGAGCCAGUCCGAAAGGAAUGUCUAUUGGCGACGCGGAGCGGCCCCUCUGAACGGAUUUAUCCAACCAACCCCAUGAUCUCAAAUCAAGCAAGACAACCCGCUGAACUUAAGCAUAUUAAUAAGCGGAGGAAAAGAAACUAACAAGGAUUCCCCUAGUAACGGCGAGUGAAGCGGGAACAGCUCAAAUUUAAAAUCUCCCAGGAGAAUUGUAGUUUAUAAAAGCGUUAUCGAGGCCGGCCUAGGUACAAGUUCUUUGGAACAAGGCAUCAUAGAGGGUGAGAAUCCCGUCUUCGACCUAGGUACCGGCCCACUACGAUGCGUCUUUCAAGAGUCGGGUUGUUUGGGAAUGCAGCCCUAAAUUGGUGGUAUAUUUCAUCUAAAGCUAAAUAUUGGCGAGAGACCGAUAGCGAACAAGUACCGUGAGGGAAAGAUGAAAAGAACUUUGAAAAGAGAGUUAAAAGUACGUGAAAUUGCUAAAAGGGAAACAUUUGACACCAGUAUUUGGGGGUCGAAAAUCAACCUCGGCACUCGCCGGGGUGCACUUUUCGGCACUCAGGUCAACGUCCGUUUUGUCUGCCGUAAAAAAGCCAAGAGAAGGUAGGUGCUUGCACUGUUAUAGCUCUGGCCGAUGCGGUGGACGGGACGGAGGACUGCGGUACAUGCCCUCGGGCUGGGUUCGCGGCAGCCGUGUGGGCGCGAUGUGCGGACAGCUUGCUGACCGUAUGCCGCUCCCCAUGCGCCCUGCUGUAGGACCACAAAUGUACCUAGGACGUUGACGAAAUGGUUUUAAAUGACCCGUCUUGAAACACGGACCAAGGAGUCUAACAUAUAUGCGAGUAUUUGGGUGCCAAGCCCAUAUGCGUAAUGAAAGUGAACGUAGGUGUGAAGCUUCGGCUGCAGCAUCGACCGAACUUGAUUUUUAAUGAUAGUUUUGAGUAGGAGCAUAUCUGUUGGGACCCGAAAGAUGGUGAACUAUACCUGGAUAGGCCGAAGCCAGAGGAAACUCUGGUGGAGGGUCGUAGCGAUUCUGACGUGCAAAUCGAUCGUCAAAUCUGGGUAUAGGGGCGAAAGACUAAUCGAACCGUCUAAUGGCUGGUUCCCUC
rnacentral:misc_RNA from 1 species